rnacentral:rRNA from 1 species
UGGGGAAUUUUGGACAAUGGGCGAAAGCCUGAUCCAGCGACGCCGCGUGAGGGACGAAGCCCUUCGGGGUGUAAACCUCUGUUGUGAGGGACGAAUAAGAUCUGGAGGAAAUGCCAGAUCGAUGACGGUACCUCACGAGAAAGCCCCGGCUAACUACGUGCCAGCAGCCGCGGUAAUACGUAGGGGGCGAGCGUUACCCGGAUUCACUGGGCGUAAAGGGGGCGCAGGCGAUCCAGUAUGUCGGGUGUGAAAUCCCACAGCUCAACUGUGGAAUUGCGCCCGAAACUACUGGGUUUGGGGCUGGUAGAGGGAGACGGAACUGCUGGUGUAGGGGUGAAAUCCGUAGAUAUCAGCAGGAACGCCGGUGGGGAAGCCGGUCUCCUGGGCCAAGCCCGACGCUGAGGCCCGAAAGCUAGGGGAGCAAACCGGAUUAGAUACCCGGGUAGUCCUAGCCGUAAACGAUGCCCACUAGGUGUGGGGGAGUCAUUCCUCCGUGCUGUAGCUAACGCGUUAAGUGGGCCGCCUGGGGAGUACGCCCGCAAGGGUGAAACUCAAAGGAAUUGGCGGGACCCCGCACAAGCGGUGGAGCGUGUGGUUUAAUUGGAUGCUAAGCCAAGAACCUUACCAGGGCUUGACAUGCAGGUGGUACCAACCCGAAAGGGAAGGGACCCUUUCCUUUUGGAAAGGGAGCCUGCACAGGUGGUGCACGGCCGUCGUCAGCUCGUGCCGUGAGGUGUUGGGUUAAGUCCCGCAACGAGCGCAACCCCUGCCCUUAGUUGCCAGCGGUUCGGCCGGGCACUCUAAGGGGACCGCCGGCGACGAGCCGGAGGAAGGAGGGGACGACGUCAGGUACUCGUGCCCUUUAUGCCCUGGGCUACACACGCGCUACAAUGGGUGGUACAGUGGGUCGCGACCUCGCGAGAGGGAGCCAAUCCCCAAAACCAUCCUCAGUUCAGAUCGCAGGCUGCAACCCGCCCUGCGUGAAGCCGGAAUCGCUAGUAAUCGCGAUCAGCCCAUGCCCGCGGUGAUACGUUCCCCGGGGGUU